AUUGAACGCUGGCGGCAGGCUUAACACAUGCAAGUCGAGCGAGCGGCGGACGGGUGAGUAAUGUAUGGGAAUCUGCCUGAUGGAGGGGGAUAACUACUGGAAACGGUGGCUAAUACCGCAUACUAUCGGAUGUACCCAGAUGGGAUUAGCUAGUAGGUGGGGUAAUGGCUCACCUAGGCGACGAUCGCUAGCUGGUCUGAGAGGAUGAUCAGCCACACUGGAACUGAGACACGGCCCAGACUCCUACGGGAGGCAGCAGUGGGGAAUAUUGCACAAUGGGCGCAAGCCUGAUGCAGCCAUGCCGCGUGUAUGAAGAAGGCCUUAGGGUUGUAAAGUACUUUCAGCGGGGAGGCGUUACUCGCAGAAGAAGCACCGGCUAACUCCGUGCCAGCAGCCGCGGUAAUAC
rnacentral:rRNA from 1 species